ensembl:lncRNA
CUUAAAUGAGAUCUGGGAAGGGGUGGAUCCUGGCUCCACCCCUUCUGGUCACUCAGGUACACGGCAUGCACCUGAACUCCCCUGGAUCGGCCCUGCCUUCCCACCAGGUGCUCAAUCAUUGCUGCAAGCCAUGAGCAAGCAUUUCUGCUAUACUCUUAUUAUGUGAAAUAUGCUCUCAUUGUCUACUGUUCUAUUUCCUGUCUAUUUAUCUUAUAUAGUGUUUAAGGCCUUCUUUUUGUUGUUAGGCACAGCAGCUAGUUCAAAAAAGAUCUCAGCUAUGUGUGCUUCCUGCUAGGGAUGAUAAGAGAAACUCACUUGAUAAUGCUUAGAAAGGGAAGGAAAAAGUGGAUUUUGGAUGAGGCUUUCAUCAAUACGUUUACACACUCUGAUGUUUCAAUGGGCCUUUUAUUUUCAAAAUAAUCUGCUAGAUGUGUGUACGGGAACUGUUGAGUCAUAGCCUGAACCACUGAUAGAGCACCUGGGGAAGGACCCGAUCAGCCCUGGGAGCACAGUUGAAGGCAAUGCAGCUGUGUGACCAGAAGGGGUGGAGCCUGGCUGCGCCUCUCUUAGUCCCCAUUUCAGGGCUGGCUGCCACUGGGGAAGGAUAUUUUCCUGGAGAUCUCUUCUUGGGGAAGCUUUCCCUUGUAAACCUGGAAUCUUUUGAUAUGGUGAGAAUUGAAAAUUGCAAGCCUGCUAUGCGUUCCCUUCCUAUGUCUUCCUGCGAAGUACAGGUAAAUGACAGUCAAAACACAAAACUGUUUUUCAGUUAACAAAAUAAUAAUUUAAAUAGUGUUUUAAAAAUGAUUGUUUCACUGAUUAAGUUCCCAUCUAUACGACAGCUGUGUGCAAAGACAGCAGAUAUUUUAUGCUGUGAUGAUUUUUUUUGUUUUCACAGCUUCUGGUCAAGACUUCCUCUGACUACUUUAGGAAGCAAAAGCAUUGAUAGUAGUCAUAAGCUCAAAUAAUGAGAAGUUUAAGAAGUGCUAAAUGAAUGCAUUAAAAAGAUACCAUUCAAAAUGUAAGAUCUGAUCACUUUUAUUCUUGUAUGAUGGUUAUAUACUAGCUAUUCAGACUGUAGAGGUUGAUUAAAAGUGAU